rnacentral:rRNA from 1 species
AAAUUGAAGAGUUUGAUCAUGGCUCAGAUUGAACGCUGGCGGCAGGCCUAACACAUGCAAGUCGAACGGUAACAGGAAGCAGCUUGCUGCUUCGCUGACGAGUGGCGGACGGGUGAGUAAUGUCUGGGAAACUGCCUGAUGGAGGGGGAUAACUACUGGAAACAGUGGCGGC